GAUGAACGCUGGCGGCGUGCCUAAUACAUGCAAGUCGAGCGAACGGACGAGAAGCUUGCUUCUCUGAUGUUAGCGGCGGACGGGUGAGUAACACGUGGAUAACCUACCUAUAAGACUGGGAUAACUUCGGGAAACCGGAGCUAAUACCGGAUAAUAUUUUUAACCGCAUGGUUCAAAAGUGAAAGACGGUCUUGCUGUCACUUAUAGAUGGAUCCGCGCUGCAUUAGCUAGUUGGUAAGGUAACGGCUUACCAAGGCAACGAUGCAUAGCCGACCUGAGAGGGUGAUCGGCCACACUGGAACUGAGACACGGUCCAGACUCCUACGGGAGGCAGCAGUAGGGAAUCUUCCGCAAUGGGCGAAGGCCUGACGGAGCAACGCCGCGUGAGUGAUGAAGGUCUUCGGAUCGUAAAACUCUGUUAUUAGGGAAGAACAUAUGUGUAAGUAACUGUGCACAUCUUGACGGUACCUAAUCAGAAAGCCACGGCUAACUACGUG
rnacentral:rRNA from 1 species